GGGAACCACAUUUUUUGUGUAUCUCAUCGUCACCCUGCUGCAUGUUGUCACUGGCCAUACUUGAGGUUUGGCUGCAGAGGACAAAACAUCGGGCUCUGGUGGAGGAACUCAUUCAGGUGGUCUGGCAGCUUUUCCAGGUUUCACUCACAGAAUGGAAGGUCUCUACAUUAACAGCAGCUCACAGGACCAAAGCUACGAUUACAGCGACACCACCUCCAACUACCAGGAUCACAUCACCAUCAGCGACUGUGAUUUCAGCUACUUUUAUAUCAUCUUUACAUUGGUGAAUCCCAUAGUCAUUGUUGUCGGCCUUCCUCUGACCCUGGUGGCCGUCUAUGCUCUUUGUUCUAUGGUGAGAAGUGAUCAUGU